CUCAUAGCCAUAACUUUCUUGUGAAAGCAGGAUAUUAACCCAGAUGUCUUGGUGCUGGAGAACAGAAAUGGCCAGAGUCCACAACCCUGUCUCCCACAGGCAUCCCAUCAUGAGAUGAACACACAGAAGGGAGGUAUGCAAUGCCAGCAUCUAGUGUCUAUCCCAAAGACCAGUGAGAAAGAAAGGAAAGACUCCAUUCCUGUCCUCUUCCCCAAGGCAACACUGGCAGCCCUACCAACGGAGACACAGAGGACAGUGUGCAAGGCUGACAGAGCUACCAACAAGAGGCAAACAGGAGAGUAUGCAAUGCUGGCAGCCUUACCAACAGAGGCAAAGAGAAGAGUGUGUUGAAAUAUCUAUUGAAUCCCUGAGACAAUUGGAUCCUAGGCCAUUGGAUUAUAAAAUCGGGGAUUGGCUCAGCAACAUUCUCUUCUAAAUCCAAAAUCUGCAAAUGUUUGAGUCUUGUAUAAAAGGACCAAGUAUUCACAUAAAAUCUGAACAAAAAAAACGAGUCUCCCAUAUACUUCAAGACAUCUCUAGAUUACCUACAGUGACCAAUACAAUGAAAAGAACUCUCCUUUUCUUUAAGAAAUAAUGACGAAAGGAAUUGUCAUUGAGAUUGGAUACUAAUACCUCUGACAAUCACAUGCUGUGCAGUGACCUAUGUACCCAAUAGAAUAUUGUAGAAAUGAUGGAGAAAGGCUUUCCAUGAGAGAUAUCAAGGAGGCUUUUGUCUUGUUCACUGUUGAAUACCAGCUCUGGGGAAAUUAGACUGUCAGGUGGGUAUGAUCGAGCAGCCCAAAAGACAGGUUCAUGUGAUGAGAACUGAGGUCUUUUACCAGGAGCCAAAAGGUCCUGCAAUGUUAGACAACCUUAGAUGUUCAAGCACUUUAUUUAGGUUGACAUCUUUGUUGCAAUUCAGCAGAUGGCCGGAAUAACAACUAACCAAUGAAGGCUUUCCAAAACAUUUGACUCGCACAAACAGUGGGAAGUAAAAAAAAAAAAAUGGUUAUUGCUGUUUGAUCGAAGUAAAUUUUUAGGGUAACUUGCUAUGUGGUAACUGAUAAUAACUACCAGAAGUCUUUACAGCCAGUAGAAAGGCUUGAGGUUUCUUGUGAGAAGACCAUGAAAAAACUUGGUACGACAGAUUAAUAAAGACAGCAUUUGGUCUAUUAUAUGAACAGUAGACUUUAAGGAGACAGGGAAAGUGGAAAGGGACUAACUAAAACAUUUCUACAAUGGCCCAAGUCAAAGUUGAUUAUGACAUAGACAAAGACAAGAAAUAAAUAGAAGUUAUCAAAGAGGCUUGGUUUAGAAGAUCUCUUGGAGAUAGGAAUGAAAAGAGAAGAGAGGAAGAACCAUAGAAAUGUUCCAGAUUUACUACGACAUAUAUAUUUCUAAACAUCUCCAAAGCUCAGAAUAGAGAAUUUGUCAAAAAGCACAUCACCCAAGAUUCAUUUGUCAUAAACCUCUGCUCAUUACCAUGAAAUUAUUCAGUCAUAGCUUCUGCCUUACUGAAGUAUAUGGUUGACACAGUGACAAUCUCUGCUUUCACAGAAUUUUAUACUUCUGAAUAAUGACUGUCUAUGCCAUGGGAUGGAAGACGUACUCAACCGGUGUCAACAAACCUCUAUUAACAAUAUAGAAUUAAUAAUAAUAAUAUUAGUUAUUUAUAUUAGUUAAUGCGAUACAAGUAUACUUAAUGACAAUAAAUUUGGUGUAUGUGAAUACUAAAUUAUUGUAAAUUAUUUUGAAACAAUAAGAACUAGCCUAGAAGUAACUUAGAUUUCAUCUCCACGGACACUGUUUUCAAGAGAAAAUGAAGGAAACAUUCAAGGAAAGUCAGAUAUAACUUAGCAAAAAUAAACAAAGAAUACAAAUCUCUGCUACUUUUCUUUCUUUAAGUUGAUAAUAAAACUGUUGAUAUGACCUUAA